rnacentral:tRNA from 1 species
GGGGUGCUAGCUCAUCCUGGAAGAGCGCUGGUUUUGCACACCAGAGGCGCGGGGUUCGAGGCCCCGGCACUCCA